rnacentral:lncRNA from 1 species
AUUCGAACGGUGGCUCGCAGCUCUAAUAUAGAAUUUGGAGGCGGAGACGGAGAAGGUGAGUAGUAUCCUGUAUGUAACAGGACUGCAAUCAUAACAAAUAGACGCUUUAGAAAAAUUGCAUGGUUUUGAUUUAUCAAAAUAAAAAUUUAAAUCGAGCAAGAUCAGAGCUGAAACGAUCCUUGCAAAUCUGCAUAAAGCACAAACAUUCAGCAUAAGACAAUAAUCAAACCUUUAGAAUGUUAUACUAAUGUUACCUGCAACAAUGUCUGAGUCAUUUGUGUAUAUAUCUGUUCCCCAUAGCUGACUACCCCGUAUCUGAAAUACCGUUUUAACAGAAAAAUUGUUCGCUUUUAGUUGUGUGGAGGUGUCGCAAGAGUAGGGGGAUACCAAAUUUGUAUGAACUAGGACAGUUUGACCAUGGAUAGUCAAAAAUUAGAAUAAAACCGUCUAGUCUUACUAGUCAGUACCUAAAUAAAGUGAACAAUUCACGCACACGAAAACAAUUAAGAUGAUGAUUUCAACUUUUCAAUAAACCUAUAGGAAAGGUUAAUUAAGAAGUGAACAAAUUCACAAGAGCAUUGAGUUGCAACCUGACGGUUAUUAGUAGUGGCGUGCUCAGCAGGAAUACGAAUUUCAACGGUAGGACCCGACCCAUUGUCUGGACUGUUUCGUUCACCAGACUCGUAUUCCUUCCAAAGUUUCGCGAGUUCCGGCAUCCCUUCUCCAAUUCUGUAAGUAAUGAACGAACUUUCUGCCCUACCUGUUGAAUACAAAGCGCACGAUAUCAGACCGUCAGAAACAGAAAAAAAUAAGGUCUACUACAAGUCGUAUCUGGAGGACAUGCGACAUGAAAAACAUUGUCAAUCAAAACACCCAUAUCACUUCAAUCCACGGUUGACCGACCUUGAGUCCUGCAUUACACCAAAAAGAAAGAUCAGUAUGCUGCACUAGCAGGUGUAUGGAAGAAAGCGGUUUUAAUGAGCUUGUAGCAGGAUACCCCUAAAGCUUAAAUUAUAAACAGGAAAAACCAACAUAGGACGUUGACAAAGCACGAGCUAUCUUCUACAAUCUGUGUUGUCCGUUAAAGUGAUGUUCAGAUAGACGAAAGUGAUUGAUUCACAGAUUAAUGAUAACAUAGGUGACAAACUAGAGACACCACUGCGCCAGGAGGAUAAAAAAAAUUCGAUUGUUAAGAGGGUAAAAAUCCAACGACAUUUGUUCAGGAAGAUAGUGAGGAUUACAUGUUCGAAGCAACGCUGAUCUAAAACACCGCACAAAUAUUUCGCAACAUACUUGAGUAGAAGUGAACGCAUUGCUGAAUAUAAUUUCAUCAAAAAAAAAAAAAAAAAAAAAAAAAAAAAAAAUCCUCCAAUGCGUCAUAUUCCAGAAGAAACAAAAUCAAAACCUACCCUUCAUUGUCUUUGGGCCGAAAUCGUGACCGGGGGUCUCGGUUAGAAGGAUUUGACUGGCCCCUGGGACGCAACAUCCUCUUACGCUGCUGUACUCCAUAGCCAUGAACGGCAUCCUUUUCUUUAUCCCCUUCCGGACGUUCACU